rnacentral:tRNA from 1 species
UGUAGCUUAGUGGUAGAGCACUUGCCUAGCAUGCAUGAUGUCCUGGGUUCAAUACCUAGUA